AUUGAACGCUGGCGGCAGGCCUAACACAUGCAAGUCGAGCGGAGCGGCGGACGGGUGAGUAAUGCCUAGGAAUCUGCCUGGUAGUGGGGGAUAACGUCCGGAAACGGGCGCUAAUACCGCAUACUAUCAGAUGAGCCUAGGGCGGUUUAGCUAGUUGGUGGGGUAAAGGCCUACCAAGGCGCCGAUCCGUGACUGGUCUGAGAGGAUGAUCAGUCAAAUUGGAAUGGAGAAAGGGUCCAGACUCUUAGGGGAGGAAGCAGUGGGGAAGAUUGGACAAUGGGCGAAAGCCUGAGCCAGCCAUGCGGCGUGUGGGAAGAAGGUCUUGGGAUGGUAAAGCACGUUAAGUUGGGAGGCGUUACCAACAGAAUAAGCACCGGCUAACUUCGUGCCAGCAGCCGCGGUAAUAC
rnacentral:rRNA from 1 species